ACUUCGUCAUUUAUGAACAGUCUAUACCAAUUUGUCCCUAGCUCAUUGCACCACACCAUGCUAUAUUUAUGGCUAAGUUACAGAUAUCCAUGAACCCAAUUAA